rnacentral:rRNA from 1 species
GAUGAACGCCGGCGGCGUGCUUAACACAUGCAAGUCGAACGAAGCACUUUAUUUGAUUUCCUUCGGGACUGAUUAUUUUGUGACUGAGUGGCGGACGGGUGAGUAACGCGUGGGUAACCUGCCUUGUACAGGGGGAUAACAGUUGGAAACGGCUGCUAAUACCGCAUAAGCGCACAGCAUCGCAUGAUGCAGUGUGAAAAACUCCGGUGGUAUAAGAUGGACCCGCGUUGGAUUAGCUAGUUGGUGAGGUAACGGCCCACCAAGGCGACGAUCCAUAGCCGACCUGAGAGGGUGACCGGCCACAUUGGGACUGAGACACGGCCCAAACUCCUACGGGAGGCAGCAGUGGGGAAUAUUGCACAAUGGGCGAAAGCCUGAUGCAGCGACGCCGCGUGAGCGAAGAAGUAUUUCGGUAUGUAAAGCUCUAUCAGCAGGGAAGAUAAUGACGG